GUGGGGAAUCUUAGACAAUGGGGGAAACCCUGAUCUAGCCAUGCCGCGUGAGCGAUGAAGGCCUUAGGGUUGUAAAGCUCUUUCAGCUGGGAAGAUAAUGACGGUACCAGCAGAAGAAGCCCCGGCUAACUCCGUGCCAGCAGCCGCGGUAAUACGGAGGGGGCUAGCGUUGUUCGGAAUUGCUGGGCGUAAAGCGCGCGUAGGCGGACCAGAAAGUUGGAGGUGAAAUCCCAGGGCUCAACCUUGGAACUGCCUUCAAAACUCCUGGUCUGGAGUUCGAGAGAGGUGAGUGGAAUUCCGAGUGUAGAGGUGAAAUUCGUAGAUAUUCGGAGGAACACCAGUGGCGAAGGCGGCUCACUGGCUCGAUACUGACGCUGAGGUGCGAAAGCGUGGGGAGCAAACAGGAUUAGAAACCCCUGUAGUCC
rnacentral:rRNA from 1 species